rnacentral:rRNA from 1 species
AUGGCUCAAGCUGCAAGGCUGAAUCUAAGAAUGCAGAAAGAGAUUAAGCUUCUGCUCAGUGAUCCACCUCCUGGGGUUUCUCUUAAUCUGUCUGAUGAGGAAAGUUCCUUGCCGUCUUUAUCGAGCAUUGAGACCAGAAUUGAGGGCCCUGAGGGAACAGUUUAUUCAAAAGGAGUUUUCAUUCUGAAGAUCCAGAUUCCUGAGAGAUAUCCUUUUCAACCUCCCAAUGUGACUUUUGUUACUCCCAUCUAUCACCCCAACAUCGACAAUGGAGGACGCAUUUGCCUUGAUAUUCUAAAUUUACCUCCAAAGGGUGCCUGGCAACCAUCACUCAACAUUUCUACUGUUUUGAGAAGCAUUGGUUUGCUGCUAACUGAGCCAAAUCCUGAUGACGGGCUCAUGGCGGAAAUAAGUCAAGAGUACAAAUACAACAGACAAGUUUUUGACAUAAAUGCUCAAGCAUGGACUGAGAAGUAUGCUAAUCCGGCAGUAGUUGGCACAAGUGGUUGGAGCUCUUUAGAUGCUUCAGUUCAGGCACAGACCAUGCAAAUGGAGAACUCGCAGAACCUCGAACCUUUGCUGGAAGUUCCUAAAAAAGAUUGUGAAGGGAGUCGAAAGAAGAUGCGGUUACUGGGUAAAAAGUUAUCACUAAAAUCAGAAGGAUCUGAAGAGAAUGCCAGCACUCUUAAGCAGGAUGCGGUGGCAGGCCACUUACGAUCCACGGCAGUAUCCACUCUUCCUACUACAUGCUUGUCUCAUGUUUCUGUCAGACAGAAUCCUACUUCCGAAAGCAUUUCUGCCAGUGCCGAUAGUGGAGUAAUUUCAAAGAAACGAUACCAAGUAAAUAGAGCAAACUUCCAGUUACAUGGACAGAGACCUUCUGUUACAUUAGAGGCUCCAAACCAAAGGAGCAGUGGCAGUGUGGAAGGUAAGCUCCCCAAUCAUCUUCGAGUGUCAGCAUCCGAUACUAAAGAUCAUGUCACACAAUCUUCUGGUGAUGUCUUAGUGAAGAGUAUGACAAAAAGCAUUGGUGAAUCAUCAGGUAAUGUGCAUAAAUUAUCAGAAGGCAAUAGAACGACUGUUGGGUCACUUGGUCAGACGAUGCAACCGAAAUUGCUAAAGCCUGAAAGCAAGAGCAAUGAUCAGAAUGGAUACAUGGCUCCAGAUCAUCUUCCUUCAGUGUCAGGUUUUAAUAAUCUGCAGAAAAGGUCACCAUAUGUUUCAAAGGAAAUUUCUAUUGGAUGUGUUGAUCUGGUUCAAGAUAAUUCUCAUACCGAGCAUGUACUUCCUAAAACCCAGUCGGUAAUACAUAAAGAAUACAAUCAAGGUCGAAAGAAGCUGAGCUUACUAAGUAAGAGGCUGUCACUGAAAUCUGAGCUGCCUGAGAUGGACAGGACAAGUGACAAGGGAUAUAAGCCAGCUAAUUGUUCACAGGAUGAUAGGAAGCCUAGUGAACUGCCAUUGUCAGGUCCAGUUGCCAUAAGCCGAACCAGGGACCUGGGUUUUGUUGAUUCACAGAAAAGUGCCGGCCAAAGCAAUCGUCCCGUCAAACAGAAUGCAACAUCUAUGAAAAAUGUUGUUUCAGACAGUGAAGAUAGUGCAGACGAAUGUCAGGUCAUUGAACCAGGCCUUGUUCAAUCACACAAAAGUGCCAGCCAAAGCAAUUGUUCCACCAAACAAAAUGUAAUGCUGAUGGAGAUUGUUUCAGAUAGCGAAGAUAGCGCAGAUGAACGUGAAAAAAGACCUUCAAGAUCAAGGUUAUCGUUGAUGAAGAGACGGUUGGCUGGAAAGCUUCGAAGUUGA